GUACUGGUGAAGAGUCCCAAACUAGGACGAAACAGUUGUCCAGCAC
rnacentral:hammerhead_ribozyme from 1 species